UGAUCAAGCGUUUUAAGGGCGUUUGGUGGAUGCCUUGGUGCCAAGAGGCGAUGAAGGACGUGGUACGCUGCGAAAAGCUUCGGGGAGCCGCGAACGGGCGUUGAUCCGAAGAUAUCCGAAUGGGGAAACCCCACCCAUCAGGGUGAUCCCGAUCUGAAUCCAUAGGGUCGGGAGGCGAACCCGGGGAACUGAAACAUCUCAGUACCCGGAGGAAAGGACAUCAACAGAGACUCCGCGAGUAGUGGCGAGCGAAAGCGGAUCAGGCCAGUGGUUUGCGCGAAUGAACCGGAACGGCAUGCGAAAGGCCGGCCAGAGCGGGUGAUAGCCCCGUACGGGUAGGGUUCGUGCAGAUCCUUGAGUAAGGCGGGACACGUGAAAUCCUGUCUGAACAUGGGGGGACCACCCUCCAAGCCUAAGUACUCCUUGGCGACCGAUAGUGGACCAGUACCGUGAGGGAAAGGUGAAAAGCACCCCGACGAGGGGAGUGAAAGAGACCUGAAACCGAACGCCUACAAGCAGUCGGAGCCGGCAUGUCCGGUGACGGCGUACCUUUUGUAUAAUGGGUCAGCGACUUGAUUUGUACGGCAAGCUUAAGCCGAUAGGCGCAGGCGCAGCGAAAGCGAGUCCGAAAGGGGCGACUGAGUCGUACGGAUCAGACCCGAAACCUGGUGAUCUAGCCAUGGGCAGGUUGAAGGCGCGGUAACGCGCGCUGGAGGACCGAACCCACUCCCGUUGAAAAGGUAGGGGAUGACCUGUGGCUAGGGGUGAAAGGCCAAUCAAACUGGGAAAUAGCUGGUUCUCCGCGAAAGCUAUUUAGGUAGCGCGUCGCGUUUAUGCCACCGGGGGUAGAGCACCGGAUGGGCUAGGGGGGUCCAAAGCCUUACCAAACCCAACCGAACUCCGAAUACCGGUGAGUACUGCGCGGCAGACAGACGGCGGGUGCUAAGGUCCGUCGUCAAGAGGGAAAGAGCCCAGACCGACAGCUAAGGUCCCCAAGUCGUGGCUAAGUGGGAAAGGAAGUGGGAAGGCCAUAACAACCAGGAGGUUGGCUUAGAAGCAGCCAUCCUUUAAAGAAAGCGUAAUAGCUCACUGGUCUAAACAAGCCGUCCUGCGCCGAAAAUGUAACGGGGCUAAAGCCACGCACCGAAGCUUCGGGCUCAUCGCAAGAUGAGCGGUAGCGGAGCGUUCCGUAGGCCUGCGAAGGGAUAUCCGUGAGGGGUCCUGGAGGUAUCGGAAGUGCGAAUGCUGACAUGAGUAGCGAUAAGGAGCGUGGGAAACGCUCCCGCCGAAAGUCCAAGGGUUCCUGCGCAAGGUUAAUCCGCGCAGGGUUAGUCGGUCCCUAAGGCGAGGCCGAGAGGCGUAGUCGAUGGGAAGCAGGUUAAUAUUCCUGCACCUGCUGGUAGUGACGAAUUCCGUAAGUUGUUUCUGCGAGAGGGCCGCAAGGCGCGCGGGGGCAGCGAAGGGGUUCCAGGAAAUAGCUCCAGCGUAUAGACCGUACCCGAAACCGACACAGGUGGACUGGUAGAGCAUACCAAGGCGUUUGAGAGAACGGUGUCGAAGGAACUAGGCAAAAUGCCCUCGUAACUUCGGGAGAAGAGGGCCUCGGUCCUGGGCAACCAGGGUCGAGGGGCACAGACCAGGGGGUAGCGACUGUUUACUAAAAACACAGGGCUCUGCGAAGCCGCGAGGCGACGUAUAGGGUCUGACGCCUGCCCGGUGCCGGAAGGUUAAGAGGAGAGGUGCAAGCCUUGAAUCGAAGCCCCGGUAAACGGCGGCCGUAACUAUAACGGUCCUAAGGUAGCGAAAUUCCUUGUCGGGUAAGUUCCGACCUGCACGAAUGGCGUAACGACUUCCCCGCUGUCUCCGACACCGACUCAGCGAAAUUGAAUUCCCCGUGAAGAUGCGGGGUACCCGCGGUCAGACGGAAAGACCCCGUGCACCUUUACUACAACUUUGCAGUGGCGUUAGGGAAUGGAUGUGUAGGAUAGGCGGGAGGCUAUGAAACUGGGGCGCCAGCCUUGGUGGAGCCACCCUUGAAAUACCGCCCUUUUGUUUCCUGACGUCUAACCGAGGCCGUGACGCGGUCCGGGACCCUGCAUGGUGGGUAGUUUGACUGGGGCGGUCGCCUCCCAAAGAGUAACGGAGGCGCGCGAUGGUGGGCUCAGGCCGGUCGGAAAUCGGCUGUGGAGUGCAAUGGCAUAAGCCCGCCUGACUGCGAGGCAGACAAGCCGAGCAGAGACGAAAGUCGGCCAUAGUGAUCCGGUGGUCCCGCGUGGAAGGGCCAUCGCUCAACGGAUAAAAGGUACGCCGGGGAUAACAGGCUGAUCUCCCCCAAGAGUCCACAUCGACGGGGAGGUUUGGCACCUCGAUGUCGGCUCAUCGCAUCCUGGGGCUGGAGCAGGUCCCAAGGGUAUGGCUGUUCGCCAUUUAAAGCGGUACGUGAGCUGGGUUUAGAACGUCGUGAGACAGUUCGGUCCCUAUCUGCCGUGGGUGUUGGAGACUUGAGAGGCGCUGUCCCUAGUACGAGAGGACCGGGAUGGACGUACCUCUGGUGUACCGGUUGUGGCGCCAGCCGCACCGCCGGGUAGCUAUGUACGGACGGGAUAAACGCUGAACGCAUCUAAGCGUGAAACCCUCCUCAAAACCAGGUCUCCCUAAGAGCCGUGACAGACCAUCACGUCGAUAGGCCGCAGGUGUACGUAUGGCGACAUACUCAGCCAAGCGGUCCUAAUCGCUCGAGUGAGCUUGAUUAU
rnacentral:rRNA from 1 species